AACACAUGCAAGUCGAGGGGCAUCGGGAUUGAAGCUUGCUUCAAUUGCCGGCGACCGGAGCACGGGUGCGUAACGCGUAUGUAACCUACCUAUAACAGGGGCAUAACACUGAGAAAUUGGUACUAAUUCCCCAUAAUAUUCGGAGAGGCAUCUCUCCGGGUUGAAAACUCCGGUGGUUAUAGAUGGACAUGCGUUGUAUUAGCUAGUUGGUGAGGUAACGGCUCACCAAGGCAACGAUACAUAGGGGGACUGAGAGGUUAACCCCCCACACUGGUACUGAGACACGGACCAGACUCCUACGGGAGGCAGCAGUGAGGAAUAUCGGUCAAUGGACGCAAGUCUGAACCAGCCAUGCCGCGUGCAGGAAGACGGCUCUAUGAGUUGUAAACUGCUUUUGUACGAGGGUAAACUCACCUACGUGUAGGUGACUGAAAGUAUCGUACGAAUAAGGAUCGGCUAACUCCGUGCCAGCAGCCGCGGUAAUACGGAGGAUUCAAGCGUUAUCCGGAUUUAUUGGGUUUAAAGGGUGCGUAGGCGGUUUGAUAAGUUAGAGGUGAAAUCCCGGGGCUUAACUCCGGAACUGCCUCUAAUACUGUUAGACUAGAGAGUAGUUGCGGUGGGCGGAAUGUAUGGUGUAGCGGUGAAAUGCUUAGAGAUCAUACAGAACA
rnacentral:rRNA from 1 species